CCUACGGGUGGCAGCAGUGGGGGAUAUUGCACAAUGGGGGAAACCCUGAUGCAGCGAAGCCGCGUGUGGGAAGACGGUCCUCUGGAUUGUAAACCACUGUCGCCAGGGACGAAGAUGACGGUACCGGGGGAGGAAGCUCCGGCUAACUACGUGCCAGCAGCCGCGGUACUACGUAGGGAGCGAGCGUUGUCCGGAUUUACUGGGGGUAAAGGGAGCGUAGGCGGGGAAGCAAGUUGGGUGUCAAAACUACCGGCUCAACUGGUAGUCGCCCUCAAAACUGCAGCUCUUGAGUGAAGUAGAGGCAGGCGGAAUUCCUAGUGUAGCGGUGAAAUGCGUAGAUAUUAGGAGGAACACCAGUGGCGAAGGCGGCCUGCUGGGCUUUUACUGACGCUGAGGCUCGAAAGUGUGGGGAGCAAACAGGAUUAGAUACCCCAGUAGUC
rnacentral:rRNA from 1 species